UUAACACAUGCAAGUCGAGGGGCAGCAUUGAAACAUAGCUUGCUAUGUUUGAUUGGCGACCGGCGCACGGGUGCGUAACGCGUAUCCAACUUUCCCGUUACUCUCGGAUAGCCUUCCGAAAGGGAGAUUAAUACGAGAUGGUGUUCAGUUUUCGCAUGUUUACUGAACUAAAGGAUUCAUCGGUAACGGAUAGGGAUGCGUGACAUUAGAUAGUUGGAGGGGUAACGGCCCACCAUGCCUACGAUGUCUAGGGGUUCUGAGAGGAAGGUCCCCCACACUGGAACUGAGACACGGUCCAGACUCCUACGGGAGGCAGCAGUGAGGAAUAUUGGUCAAUGGACGGAAGUCUGAACCAGCCAAGUAGCGUGCAGGACGACGGCCCUAUGGGUUGUAAACUGCUUUUAUGUGGGAAUAAAGUCAGGGACGUGUCCCUGUUUGCAUGUACCACAGGAAUAAGGACCGGCUAAUUCCGUG
rnacentral:rRNA from 1 species